UGGUGACUGGUGAGCACAAAGCGAACUAUUCUUUCGCCUUUUACUAAAGAAUACCGUGUGCGCGCCACAAAUAGCAGCAUACUCUAAUUGGAGGUUGUUUUCUCUUUAAGAGAGAA
rnacentral:snRNA from 1 species